rnacentral:lncRNA from 1 species
GUCUAUUUGACCUAAUACAAUCUUUAAAAGCCUUAGAUGAUUAUGUUUUUUUUUAAAGAUUUUAUUUUUUUCCUUUUUCUCCCCAAAGCCCCCCAAGUACAUAGUUGUAUAUUCGUUGUGGGUCCUUCUAGUUGUGGCAUGUGGGACACCGCCUCAGCGUGGCUUGACGAGCAGUGCCAUGUCCGCGCCCAGGAUUCGAACCAACGAAACACUGGGCCCCCUGCAGCGGAGCGCGCGAACUUAACCACUCGGCCACGGGGCCAGUCCCAGUCCUUAAAAGGAAGAAAUCGGUUUCAGGAUGCAACUCACAGGUCCAUUCCAGAAGGUCAGGAGGUGCAGACGAGUUGAGCUGUUGACUCAGCUGAGACAUGCUCCUAACAUCGUCCUGCUUAAGUGCACGCAUCUUUUCAAGUGCAGCUAACUUACAGCCCAAGACAGAGGUCUGAUUUUUACAGAAGCUCCAAGAACUUCAUGGAGUUUUGUCCUCAAAGCAGACAGGGACGUGGGGCAGCUGCAGGAGAACGGGAGGAGGAGAGAGGCCAGACGGUGCUGGGGCGCGUGCAGAACGAGCGGGUGCCCACCCCAGGGCCCCGCCUUGUGUCUGUGACUCUGGUCUCUAAAGGCUGGCUGUGGAGUGAGACCACGUCAUUCAUUUUCAGCUGGCUUAUCUCCCUCUUGGUUUAUUUGUAGAAAGUUUCCGAAGCGUAUCUGUGAACCCUUAUUCCAUGGGAUGUCAACAAGUGUUACACACACACACACCAAAAAAAAAACAGAAAAAACAACUAUCCACAGUCAAAUAAGCUUCUUUACUGCAGAAUUCUCAGGAAUUCUAGAAUCCCAGGCACACUGCGAAUCAGCACGAGAGGAACCCUGAGUGGACACGCUCAUGUUUACUGGUGAUGACGCUCUUUUCUGCAGAACAUCUGACAGGAACAGCACUGCCUGGAAGGAAGCUCAGGAAACACAGGCUUAGCUUCCUCUCUAAAUCAGUUUAUUCUCUUGUGGAUACCAGGGAUGGCAAGGAAGAUGCUUCAUCACGUAGAACAGAGAAGAAAGUGGUUCUGGGAUUAAACUGUUGUUAUAGGGAACUCACAGAACGGCCAAUUCACGCGGACAAAAUCUCUGAGAACUGACAGUUACCGUUGUGUAACUUCAUA